rnacentral:tRNA from 1 species
GCAGGGAUAGCGAAGUGGUCAAACGCAACAGCCUCAAGAGCUGUUCUCUUAGUGAGUUCGGAGGUUCGAAUCCUCUCUCCUGCA